rnacentral:rRNA from 1 species
UGACAAAGUUCAACGGCCGCGGUACCCUAACCGUGCGAAGGUAGCAUAAUCACUUGUUCUUUAAAUGAGGACUCGUAUCAACGGCACUACGAGGGCUAUACUGUCUCCUUUUUCUAAUCAGUGAAACUGAUCUCCCCGUGAAGAAGCGGGGGUCAAAAUAUAAGACGAGAAGACCCCAUGGAGCUUUAAACUCACUAUACACCUCUGUGCCUUUAUGUCACUAGACACAAGAGAUCUGCGUACUAGUUUUAGGUUGGGGGGACCACGGAGUAUAAUUUAACCUCCAUAACAAAUGGGCUAACACCCUUAUCUACGAGACACAACUCUAAGAAUUACUAAACUAAUGCUUAUGACCCGAUAUUCGAUCAAUGAACCAAGUUACCCUGGGGAUAACAGCGCAAUCUACUUCAAGAGCCCAUAUCGACAAGUGGGUUUACGACCUCGAUGUUGGAUCAGGGUAUCCCGGUGGUGCAGCCGCUACCGACGGUUCGUUUGUUCAACGAUUAAAACCCUACGUGAUCUGAG